rnacentral:rRNA from 1 species
GAUGAACGCUGGCGGCGUGCCUAAUCCAUGCAAGUCGAACGGAGUAUCAGCAAUGGUGCUUAGUGGCGAACGGGUGAGUAACGCGUUGGUGACCUGCCCCAAAGCGGGGGAUAACAGAUCGAAAGGUCUGCUAAUACCGCGUAAGUUAUGCGUAGUUAGAGAGCGCAUAAGAAAGCCGAAAGGCGCUUUGGGAGGGGCCUGCGUCCCAUCAGCUAGUUGGUAAGGUAACGGCUUACCAAGGCGAUGACGGGUAGGGGACCUGAGAGGGUGGCCCCCCACAAUGGAACUGAAACACGGUCCAUACACCUACGGGUGGCUG